rnacentral:rRNA from 1 species
UACGUAGGGUGCAAGCGUUGUCCGGAAUCAUUGGGCGUAAAGCGCGCGUAGGUGGCUUCGUAAGUCCGUUGUGAAAGUCAAAGGCUCAACCUUUGAAUGCCGAUGGAUACUGCGAAGCUAGAGUACGGAAGAGGCGAGUGGAAUUCCUGGUGUAGCGGUGAAAUGCGCAGAUAUCAGGAAGAACACCAAUGGCGAAGGCAGCUCUCUGGGACGGUACUGACGCUGAGACGCGAAAGCGUGGGGAGCGAACAGG